rnacentral:rRNA from 1 species
UCGUAGGGCGCAAGCGUUGUCCGGAAUUAUUGGGCGUAAAGAGCUCGUAGGCGGCUUGUCACGUCGGGUGUGAAAGACCGGGGCUUAACCCCGGUUCUGCAUUCGAUACGGGCUGGCUAGAGUGUGGUAGGGGAGAUCGGAAUUCCUGGUGUAGCGGUGAAAUGCGCAGAUAUCAGGAGGAACGACCGGUGGCGCAAGGCGGAUCUCUGGGCCAUUACUGACGGCUGAGGAGCGAAAGCGUGGGGACGCGAACAGG